rnacentral:rRNA from 1 species
AACCGUGGUAAUUCUAGAGCUAAUACAUGCUGAAAACCCCGACUCCGGAAGGGGUGUAUUUAUUAGAUAAAAAACCAAUGCCCUCCGGGGCUCUCUGGUGAUUCAUGAUAACUCAACGAAUCGCAUGGCCUUGCGCCGGCGAUGGUUCAUUCAAAUUUCUGCCCUAUCAACUUUCGAUGGUAGGAUAGUGGUAGGCAUCCCCCCUGUGUUCUAUCGCCCACCAUUAGAUACUUUGCUAAUUGCUGCGUUAGGCCUACCAUGGUUUCAACGGGUAACGGGGAAUUGUACGUGUCCGCCCCCUCCUGUGACCGUGAGUGUCUGCUAACGUGUGCUGUGUACAGAGGGUUCUAUUCCGGAUAGGGAGCCUGAGAAACGGCUACCACAUCCAAGGAAGGCAGCAGGCGCGCAAAUUACCCAAUCCCAAUUCGGGGAGGUAUGUCUCGAUUGAUCCUAGCGUUUGGAGUCCGCGCUAACCCCAUUUAGGUAGUGACAAUAAAUACUGAUACAGGGCUCUUUCGGGUCUUGUAAUUGGAAUGAGUACAAUCUAAAUCCCUUAACGAGGAACAAUUGGAGGGCAAGUCUGGUGCCAGCAGCCGCGGUAAUUCCAGCUCCAAUAGCGUAUAUUAAAGUUGUUGCAGUUAAAAAGCUCGUAGUUGAACCUUGGGCCUGGCUGAUCUGUCUUCCUAACCGUUGCACGGAUUCGGUCGGGCCUUUCCUUCUGGGGAAUCCCAUGCCCUUCACUGGGCGUGGUGGGGAACCAGGACUUUUACCUUGAAAAAAUUAGAGUGUUCAAAGCAGGCCUAUGCUCGGAUACAUUAGCAGGAAUAAUGAAUAGG